ACGAAAAAACCACCACAAAUACCAUUUUGGUAUGCGAUCGAUCGAUCGCUUAACUGUUUUAUGUUUGAAAUGUUUAUGUGUUGUGUUUUGCUUGUUGGUUGGAACAGAAUCUGUUAUUUUAUAUUUUACUAAACUUGUCUUCAGAAAGUGGAGUUUCAGGUGUAUGAAUUAGCAAGGAACGCGCUACUAGUGAGUAAAGAAAAAAUCGAUUUAAGUGAUCUUUUGCUACUUUGAACUUCCAAGCAUCGGAAAUUCAAGUUUAUUUUCGAAAUGCAUGGUGGUUAUGUUCACGGUAGAAAAUAUCAUGUUGUAAGAGUAAUUUUCCAUUGUCCGGGCACACCAGAUUGGUUGCUGUCAAUGUGGUGGUGGACGGUUUUUAGUGACUAUACUUCGUGUAUGGUACAUAUCUAGGUGCCGUAUAUCCCACAUUUAGGACAAAUAAUUACAAUGGAUUUCGUGUAGCCACAAAUAUGGCAAAAGUGCAUCAUUUCCAUUGUGCGAAUAGAAACAAUCCCUUAACACAGCUUUCGUAUGAACUUGCGGUGCCUAUUUGGCGUUUAACAGACGAAUGCGCUAUAUGGCGCAUGCCCAGAUUUACCGAUUCACCAGAAGCGUAUGGCGAAAAUAUUCGUUACCCGACGUUUCGGAACUCUCACGAAAUUGGUGCAUUACGAAAUUGGCAUUAUAGAACAGACUGUAAUAACAAUGCUGCCGGCGUGAAUUAUAGUACACUGUUCGUGGAAAAUAACUGGUCAGUACAGGAAUACAAUAUGGUAGAAAACACUGACUCAGAGCAUGAAAAGCUUACGGCAAUCGAUGUCUUUAUCACCGUCGGAAUAAUUAACAGAGUGUUCUGUAAGAUGGAGCAUGACAUGAAAGAGUUACAGGAGUCAUUUACAACGAUCGUCGAGACUAUGGGAGAGAACAACAAUAAGAGAAUUAAUAUUUCUGAAUGCGAUGAUUAGUAGAA